rnacentral:rRNA from 1 species
GUGGGGAAUAUUGGGCAAUGGGCGCAAGCCUGACCCAGCAACGCCGCGUGAGGGAAGAAGGCUUCCGGGUUGUAAACCUCUGUCCUUGGUGACGAAACAAAUGACGGUAGCCAAGGAGGAAGCCCCGGCUAACUACGUGCCAGCAGCCGCGGUAAUACGUAGGGGGCGAGCGUUGUCCGGAAUUACUGGGCGUAAAGGGUGCGUAGGUGGCCUUUUAAGUUGGAUGUGAAAUACCCGGGCUUAACUUGGGGGGUGCAUCCAAAACUGGGAGGCUAGAGUGCAGGAGAGGAAAGCGGAAUUCCUAGUGUAGCGGUGAAAUGCGUAGAUAUUAGGAGGAACACCAGUGGCGAAGGCGGCUUUCUGGACUGUAACUGACACUGAGGCACGAAAGCGUGGGGAGCAAACAGGAUUAGAUACCCCGGUAGUCC